rnacentral:sRNA from 2 species
UCCGGGCGGACGCCGAGUCCUGCCGCCGUCCGGAUGUCCGGUCGACAGGAGUGGAUCGGCAGGAGUGGAGGACCCGUGCAGUACGGGCCGCCGGAGCCGUAUCCGAGCGGUCCUUGGGGUCAAGUCGCGCUACCGCGGCCGGGCGACUUCGCCAGCCCGAACCCGACAGGUCAUCCUUCACAGGCGGCUGACGAAGGGUUG